AGCAGAGAAGCAGAAGCAGAACUACGAGACAUGAAAAGCCAUCCUUUCCCCAACGGGUUCUGUCAAAACAUUCUAGACCCAGGCUUAGAGAAAGUGCCUCCAUUACGCUGGAAACAUAAUGGAUGCCCCUCAGUUACCCUUACAGAACAGAAGCUCUGUCUGGACAAAUUGCAGCCACAAGCGGGGGGUCGAGGGCCCCAUGCAGCAGCACACCUGCAAAAAGCUUUUACUUCUCACCCGGGCGGUGCUGCAGGCUGACUGGUCUUUGGGCACUGUAAUCCUGGCGGAUCCGCGAGGCAGAGAAGAGAAAAACUUCCAUUCACAGACGCCUUCGGUCUUGGAGAUCUUAUAGAAGGUCUCGCCUGACCCCACCGGGAUGCGCACCAAGUCCUUGUGCUGAGCCUCCAGGGCGUGGCUGGGCGGGUGCAGGGUGUAGCCCAGGGUGUGCUUGGAAGACUGCUUCCUGCGGAGACACUGGAUUCGCAGGACAUUCUGGAAGGCCUUUUUAAACUCUUGACUGGAGCAUGGGUAGAUGAUGGGGUUGAUGCAGCUGUUCAGGUAUCCAAGCCAAAAUGCUAUUUUAAAAACUGUUUCUGAGGGUUUGGAUUCAGGGAAGAAAGAGCCUGAAAGAAAACACACAGAUUCAUAUACGUUAUUUAUAAUCCAACAGGUAAAUUAGUUCAGAAACCAAAGCAACAGACCACUAAGUAUGUUUUUAUGUCUUUAAAAAUUUCUAAUGAUUCUAAGUAAACAUGAGUUUCUCACAUUGGACUGACAAGCUCCUGAGACUGUAAACUCCUGUAAUAUUCUCAAAGGCCAUACUCACCUGGCCCACAGGUACAUCAAUUAUGGAAGCAGAUCCAUUGGGUAGAUUUGCACCAGUUCUGAAUGAUAACAUAUCACUUGAUGUCUGUGAUGAAGCUUUAACUAAUGAAGACAUGAAAUUGAAGCUGAGUCUACAUAUGUACAUUGUUAUGCCUGAACUUACAAUAAAUUGGAAUCCAUUCAAAUAAUCCACAUUAAAAUUGGGGCACCUCAAUAUUCCCUUUUUCUUUGAUGUAGUAUUAGAUAAGACACAUACUGAAGCCUGGAUUUUUUUUCUCAAGUACACUGGUAAUUAUUACAGGC